GUCUGAAUUUCAGAGGGAGGGUAACUGUCGCUUCUGUAAAGAAUUUCCAGCUGAUUGCUGCUACACAGCGUGCAGCCAGUGCUCCAACACCAGCACAACCGGCUCAGUCAUCAUCAGAUCAAGACAAGAUUAUCUUGCAGUUUGGUAAGGUUGGCAAAGAUAUGUUUACAAUGGAUUAUCGAUAUCCUUUAUCUGCAUUUCAGGCUUUCGCCAUCUGUUUGAGCAGCUUUGACACUAAGUUGGCAUGUGAAUAGAAAGGACAAAUAGAAGAUUUAGUUGAUACUAGUUUUCUCUUCCCUAGAGUUGCUGAAAAGAUUGAGUCUUUUGCACAGUCAUUGUGUUACUCUUCAUCAUAAUCAAGAAGAUGCAGGAAACUCUUGCUCAUUUGAAAGUUACCAUUCUCUUCUUUCUUUUUUACCUCCUCUUCGUCCUUGGUCGUUUCAUCGUUCAUUCAUAGUUUAAGAUGC
rnacentral:misc_RNA from 1 species